GGUAAGAUGGCUCAGUGGUUAAGAGCACUGACUGAUCUUUCAGAGGUCCUGAGUUCAAUUCCCAGCCACAACA
rnacentral:tRNA from 1 species